rnacentral:rRNA from 1 species
GCCCCUGUGAGAAUGCCCUGCAACCUCUGAAUGAGACCAAGGAGCUGGUAUCAGGCACACUUAAAUGUAGCCCACAACACCUUGCUUAGCCACACCCCCAAGGGAAUCCAGCAGUGAUAGAUUUUAAGCCAUAAGUGAAAACUUGACUUAGUUAAUGCUACUAAGAGUUGGUAAAGCUCGUGCCAGCCACCGCGGUUAUACGAGAGACUCAAGUUGACAGUCAUCGGCGUAAAGAGUGGUUAGGACAAACAUAAACUAGAGCCGAAUGCCCUCAAAGCUGUUAUAAGCCCUACGAGAGCAAGAAGCCCAACUACGAAAGUGGCUCUAUUAUAUCUGACUCCACGAAAGCUAGGGCACAAACUGGGAUUAGAUACCCCACUAUGCCUAGCCUUAAACAUUGACAGUUAACUACACCCACUGUCCGCCCGGGAACUACGAGCGCCAGCUUAAAACCCAAAGGACUUGGCGGUGCUUUAGACCCACCUAGAGGAGCCUGUUCUAGAACCGAUAAUCCCCGUUAAACCUCACCCUUCCUUGUCAUUUCC